UAAGAUACGUAUCGGAAGGUAUCGUAUCGGUAUCGGAAAUACUUUAAACCAUGAGCUCAAGUUGCAUUGUGGAUGGUAAACUUUCUCCUGUUGUUGCAACAUGCUUUGUCACCAUGCAGAAGAGUGUAGAGCUUCCUUUAUUCAUAUGGACCUCAAAAUUGGCAAUCGCAUGGUGUGUGGCCUAUUUAACAUUCAUUUAAAGUGGAUCAGAGAUGAUCAGACCCGUGAGUUCAUCUGGUGGAUCAGCUGUAGUGAAUUAUUGACAUGGUGACAUCAAAUGGUAUUACCUGGCUUCAGAUGGCAGUGGACUAGGGAAUGGGAACCUGUGGUAUCAUGUUCUUCUGGUUAUUUGUUCUUUUUUUUAGCCUUGGAGAAGGUAAUGAUUGCCCUUGAUACCAAGUAAGAGAUUAGCUGUAAUAAUAGUUCUGUUGAAAUUUGAAAUUCACUUAUUAAUCAGUUGAAUUUUGUAGGACAAAAAUAUGAAUAUACAUUGUCCACUUUUCUAUGGUGAUAAAGAUCUGAUCAAGAUGUGUUUGAAUCCCAUCAAUAGGUGCAAGAUGCAAAUGCUUGGUUCAUUAAACUGGACUGCUGGAGCCUAGGCGCUUCUGUAUUUUCAGAACACUCACAGCAACAUUUUAUCAAAUUUAAAAGUUCGUCUGAUGGAAGUGCAAUUUUGGGGAGUUUUGAUAUUUUUGGUUGCGUUGAAGUUGGUAUGUGAUGAGCGUGGUUUUUGCUUUGAUUUCUCAGGUGUAUUUUGGUGCUGUUGGUUCCUUUCCUUCUUCCCUCUACCCAAACAAAACUUGUUUGAGAAAAGAAAUUUCUUCAGGUUGUUUAGACAGAUUUGGCAACUGCUGACUUUUCCUCGCCCCUAUUCUCUAAAGCAGCAGCGACCUCAACCCGAGGGAGGUCAGCAGAUAACAGUGGUGUCAACGAUUUGGUUUCAUUAGGAGACAACCUACCUUGGCCAAGAUCGAAUCCGAACCAAUUUAUAAUCAGUUUGGUAUUCUUCAGUUAAA